AUACGGAGGAUGCGAGCGUUAUCCGGAUUUAUUGGGUUUAAAGGGAGCGCAGGCGGAGAUGCAAGCGUGACGUCAAAUUUCGGGGCUCAACCCCGUCUCGCGUCGCGAACUGCGUCCCUUGGUUGCGGGAAGGGGAGGCGGAACUCGUGGUGUAGCGGUGAAAUGCAUAGAUAUCACGAAGAACUCCGAUCGCGAAGGCAGCCUUCCGGCCCGUCAACGACGCUCAUGCUCGAAGGUGCGGGUAUCAAACAGGAUUAGAUACCCUGGUAGUCCGCACAGUAAACGAUGGACACCCGCGGUUUGGCCUGUAUGGCUGAGCCGCCAAGCGAAAGCGUUAAGUGUCCCACCUGGGGAGUACGCCGGCAACGGUGAAACUCAAAUGAAUUGACGGGG
rnacentral:rRNA from 1 species